UACGGGGGGGGCAAGCGUUGUUCGGAAUUACUGGGCGUAAAGGGCUCGUAGGCGGCCAACUAAGUCAUACGUGAAAUCCCUCGGCUUAACCGGGGAACUGCGUCUGAUACUGGAUGGCUUGGAUUCGGGAGAGGAAUGCGGAAUUCCAGGUGUAGCGGUGAAAUGCGUAGAUAUCUGGAGGAACACCGGUGGCGAAGGCGGCAUUCUGGACCGACAUUGACGCUGAGGAGCGAAAGCCAGGGGAGCAAACGGG
rnacentral:rRNA from 1 species